rnacentral:ncRNA from 1 species
AGGGGAAAUGCAGACUCCCCACCAGACGGCCCUUCCCGUCCAAGCUCUGC